rnacentral:rRNA from 1 species
AAAUUGAAGAGUUUGAUCAUGGCUCAGAUUGAACGCUGGCGGCAGGCCUAACACAUGCAAGUCGAACGGUAACAGGAAGCAGCUUGCUGCUUCGCUGACGAGUGGCGGACGGGUGAGUAAUGUCUGGGAAACUGCCUGAUGGAGGGGGAUAACUACUGGAAACGGUGGCUAAUACCGCAUAACGUCGCAAGACCAAAGAGGGGGACCUUCGGGCCUCUUGCCAUCAGAUGUGCCCAGAUGGGAUUAGCUUGUUGGUGAGGUAACGGCUCACCAAGGCGACGAUCCCUAGCUGGUCUGAGAGGAUGACCAGCCACACUGGAACUGAGACACGGUCCAGACUCCUACGGGAGGCAGCAGUGGGGAAUAUUGCACAAUGGGCGCAAGCCUGAUGCAGCCAUGCCGCGUGUAUGAAGAAGGCCUUCGGGUUGUAAAGUACUUUCAGCGGGGAGGAAGGUGUUGCGGUUAAUAACCGCAGCAAUUGACGUUACCCGCAGAAGAAGCACCGGCUAACUCCGUGCCAGCAGCCGCGGUAAUACGGAGGGUGCAAGCGUUAAUCGGAAUUACUGGGCGUAAAGCGCACGCAGGCGGUCUGUCAAGUCGGAUGUGAAAUCCCCGGGCUCAACCUGGGAACUGCAUUCGAAACUGGCAGGCUUGAGUCUUGUAGAGGGGGGUAGAAUUCCAGGUGUAGCGGUGAAAUGCGUAGAGAUCUGGAGGAAUACCGGUGGCGAAGGCGGCCCCCUGGACAAAGACUGACGCUCAGGUGCGAAAGCGUGGGGAGCAAACAGGAUUAGAUACCCUGGUAGUCCACGCCGUAAACGAUGUCUACUUGGAGGUUGUGCCCUUGAGGCGUGGCUUCCGGAGCUAACGCGUUAAGUAGACCGCCUGGGGAGUACGGCCGCAAGGUUAAAACUCAAAUGAAUUGACGGGGGCCCGCACAAGCGGUGGAGCAUGUGGUUUAAUUCGAUGCAACGCGAAGAACCUUACCUGGUCUUGACAUCCACGGAAGUUUUCAGAGAUGAGAAUGUGCCUUCGGGAACCGUGAGACAGGUGCUGCAUGGCUGUCGUCAGCUCGUGUUGUGAAAUGUUGGGUUAAGUCCCGCAACGAGCGCAACCCUUAUCCUUUGUUGCCAGCGAUUAGGUCGGGAACUCAAAGGAGACUGCCAGUGAUAAACUGGAGGAAGGUGGGGAUGACGUCAAGUCAUCAUGGCCCUUACGACCAGGGCUACACACGUGCUACAAUGGCGCAUACAAAGAGAAGCGACCUCGCGAGAGCAAGCGGACCUCAUAAAGUGCGUCGUAGUCCGGAUUGGAGUCUGCAACUCGACUCCAUGAAGUCGGAAUCGCUAGUAAUCGUGGAUCAGAAUGCCACGGUGAAUACGUUCCCGGGCCUUGUACACACCGCCCGUCACACCAUGGGAGUGGGUUGCAAAAGAAGUAGGUAGCUUAACCUUCGGGAGGGCGCUUACCACUUUGUGAUUCAUGACUGGGGUGAAGUCGUAACAAGGUAACCGUAGGGGAACCUGCGGUUGGAUCACCUCCUUA